AAAUAUAGAUUUUUUUACUCAGGAGCUAAAAAACUAUUAUAGGGGUAGUGUCGUAUUCAUUAUUAAAUUACUAGGUUUUUCUUAAUUUUUAUUGUACUUUAAGUAAAACAUUUGAGUAUAGUGCAAGUGUAAUUGUUUUGCAUAUUAUAAAAAAGUUCACAGUGCCGAUUCUUUCACUUACCUGUAUUAUUACAUACAUCCGUCUAGACAGAAACAUUUACCUGCAUCGGAGUGUCAGUUUUCACGGAAACGUCACUGAAUUCCUUCCUUAAUGUGUGACUUGCAAUGAUGUUAGAAUUAUCUGUGCCUGGAAAAAUAGUACGUAAAUUUGUAAAUAAUUCUGAUUUCCCUAUAUACCAAAAAAUUGCAAAUAUUAAAAGGUACCUUCUAUUAUACAUAUUGCCAUUAUAAGUGCACAAAUUAGAAGAAAACAUAAAACAUACUUGUCGAUGCUCUGGUCAGAAACAAUGUAGGAAUUGCGUCGGGUCUAAGACGUUGAUUGGAAGGGGACAUAAAACUGCUCUCCGCAAAAUGCAAACUACAGAUAUUAACCCUUUUAUAACAUUGUUUCGGAGUAAGAUCGGCAUAUCUAUGUUCGCCAGUAAAUCCAAAAAUACCUUUCCAGAGUUGGCACCUAUAAUCCAUUUUUUAUAUUAAUUUAAAAAAAGAAACAAGAACCAGAUCAUAAAGUAACUAGGAAUGCAAUCAUGAAUUUAAUAAACAACUAAUUCCAAUGUACUUACCUAUUUUCAUUUUUCGGACAUCUAAAAAACAUUAAACCACUUCCACGCUUUGUAAAACAACUGUCUACCGAACAAUAAGUCGACAUUUUAAUAUAAUAGAUUAUAAUAAUUUGGCAGUCCACUGAGUCCACCCGGUACAACUAGUAAUAAAACGCUCGCACAUCAAAACGAUUUAAACUCUACUCACUGUGUAACCCAACAGAUUCGAUUGUAGGAGCGUCGCCCGGCAAAUGAAGUGAGGGGCGGUGAAUAGGUAAUUCGGCGCGUGGAGCCGAGUGAAGCAACUUGUAUUUUAUUCAGUAAACUUUGAAAAUGCUAAGAGAAUAACAGUUGUUUUUGACACUUACACAUGUAAUUCAUUAAAAUCUGCUGAGAGAUUCAGACGUGGUGAUUCAUCUAAUACAACAAAAUACAAAAUUUUUGGGUCUCGAAAAGUUCCAAUUUUUAAUGAUUUUCUCAAGUCAUCCAACAAUAAGAAGGCCUUAUUAGUUUUUACUGUAAGUUAUCUUUUGGAAUUUGCAGCAAAAUCUCUAAAUAAGAAUGAAACUUUAAUAGUAGCAGGAGGAUCUGAAAAUUCCGAAAAUGUCUAUAUUAUAACCACCUAUAAAGAGCCACAAAUUUGGGAACAAUACAAAAGUAAUCAGGAAGAAGCAGAUACUCGAAUUAUUCUUUACGUCCUGGCAGAGCGAGAGCUUAGUAAUUCUAUUCUUGUCAAAUCUGUGGAUACCGACGUAUUACUUUUACUUUUACACCAUUUCAUUAUUACAAAACAAAUAAAGGGCUGUAAAUUACUUAUGGAAUUAGGGCAUUCAAAAAAUCAACGCUUCUUAGCAAUUCAGGAUGUAGUUCAAAAAUUGGGAAAAGCAGUUUUAAGAAACAUUUUGGCAGUUCAUUGCCUCACAGGAUGCGACACAACUAGUUCGUUUUUUAAAAUUGGUAAAAAAACAGCCUUUGAUGUACUAAUAAAAAAUAUCGAUAAGCUAAAAGAACUAUAUGAUCUGCCAUUUGUAUCGGAUACAAAAGCAGUUAAACGGAGUACACAAUUUAUUUUACUUCUAUAUAGAAACAAGGACAAUGAUAUUUCUACCCUAAAUGCACUACGAUUGCAUUUAACUACAAAUGCAAAUAAAUCUGCCGUGGAACUGCCGCCAACUGACGAUGCAUUCAAACAGCAUUUAAAAAGGUGCAUAUAUCAAUUAAAAAUUUGGUAUAACAGUCACAUACCAUAUAUGAAUUUUGAGGACCCAAGAAAAUAUAGAUGGACAAAUGAUAUAGAGUCUAAUAUAUGGACUCCAAUAUUUGCGACACAGGAUCCCGUCCCAAAGGAACUACGGAAAAUUUUAGUUCUUCGAUGUUCCGAUGGAAACAGCAACACUUAAAAGUGUAUAUGUAUAUCCCAGGGCUUGAAGUGUUAUAACGAAUGUAACUGUAAAUUUUGUGGCAACAAAGACAUUAUAGACACACCAGAUUCAUUGGAAUCACAAAAUGAUGAUGACUAUUAAAAAUUAAAGUUCGUUUAAUUAAAAUAUUCAAAUAAAUAAUUUUUUUAAGUUUA